rnacentral:misc_RNA from 1 species
AAAUAAAGAAUAUUCACUUCUAGCCUUUUGCCUUGAAACUUCUGUGUGGAUCUCUGGCACAACAGAAUGUGCUUUGCUGGGAGAAAUGUGAUGGGAGCUAAGCUGCUUUGGUUGAUCAAAACUUGUAUUGUGCAAGUAUAUAUAAAAGGAUAUGUUAGGUUGGUGAAACUCAACUUUUCAUUGCAUGAGUCGUCCAUGGCUCAUCCACAAUGAUAAAGGCAUACAAAUAGACUCAACAUGAUAUUUUUUAAGGAACGAUGUAAGAAAAGAUGACAUGUCUGAUUGCUUUCAAGAGAAGAUAUUGUAGGCCCAUUUCUUCCUAUAUUUUCAAUUCUCGAAAAAUCACAUUAAUUUUAAAAAAUUCUCUCUCAC